rnacentral:rRNA from 1 species
CAGUCGCCACGGUAAUACGAAGGGGGCUAGCGUUGCUCGGAGUGACUGGGCGUAAAGGGCGCGUAGGCGGUUUAUACAGUCAGAUGUGAAAUUCCUGGGCUUAACCUGGGGGCUGCAUUUGAGACGCGUAGUCUAGAGUGUGAAAGAGGGUCGUGGAAUUCCCAGUGUAGAGGUGAAAUUCGUAGAUAUUGGGAAGAACACCGGUGGCGAAGGCGGCGACCUGGUUCAUGACUGACGCUGAGGCGCGAAAGCGUGGGGAGCAAACAGGAUUAGAUACCCCUGUAGUCCCUGUCUCUUAUAC